CCUACGGGAGGCUGCAGUAGGGAAUCUUCCACAAUGGGCGAAAGCCUGAUGGAGCAACGCCGCGUGGGUGAAGAAGGUCUUCGGAUCGUAAAACCCUGUUGUUAGAGAAGAAAGUGCGUGAGAGUAACUGUUCACGUUUCGACGGUAUCUAACCAGAAAGCCACGGCUAACUACGUGCCAGCAGCCGCGGUAAUACGUAGGUGGCAAGCGUUAUCCGGAUUUAUUGGGCGUAAAGGGAACGCAGGCGGUCUUUUAAGUCUGAUGUGAAAGCCUUCGGCUUAACCGGAGUAGUGCAUUGGAAACUGGGAGACGUGAGUGCAGAAGAGGGGAGUGGAACUCCAUGUGUAGCGGUGAAAUGCGUAGAGAUAUGGAAGAACACCAGUGGCGAAAGCGGCUCUCUGGUCUGUAACUGACGCUGAGGCACGAAAGCGUGGGGAUCGAACAGGAUUAGAUACCCGGGUAGUC
rnacentral:rRNA from 1 species